rnacentral:rRNA from 1 species
UACGUAGGGUGCAAGCGUUGUCCGGAAUUACUGGGCGUAAAGCGUGCGUAGACGGUUACAUAAGUCGGGUGUGAAAGCCCCGGGCUCAACCUGGGAAUUGCAUUCGAGACUGCGUAGCUAGGGUACGGAAGAGGGAGGCGGAAUUUCAGGUGUAGCGGUGAAAUGCGUAGAUAUCUGAAGGAACACCAGUGGCGAAAGCGGCCUCCUGGUCCAGUACCGACGUUCAGGCACGAAAGCGUGGGGAGCAAACAGG